rnacentral:lncRNA from 1 species
GAUACACAGCUGAUGGUGGCAGUGUGUACUGCAGUGUGUGCGAAAACAGUGGGAAUAUCUGGAGGAAACCAUUGAGCAGUUAGCAAGCCAAGCAGCACAACAACCUGGAGAGAGCUGAAGAGAGAUGCUUAGCACAUACAUCAUUAUUUGAGUUAAGUUGCUUGUUCAAUAAGAUAGCAUACGUAAUGACGCAGUUUUACGUUUUUACGCAAUGACGCCACAGCGUCAUUUAGCAACUUUUAGCAACAAAUCGACCUGCCUCUAGCAACUUCCCCUGAAAAUGUAUUGGCAACACUGCGUGUAUGACCAGUAGGACUACAAAUCCCAAAGCCCUUUUAGCGCGUUUGAGGAAUGCAGGGUGGGCUCAUUUUUCCGGGGCUACCACUAUGUAUAUACUACAGCCAUCGGGGUUUCUAGCCAUGACCGGUUUGAGCUGAACUACGCGGUCCUUCCUCGCUUUUAACACUGCCCGACCUGUCGAAUUUAAGUCCGUGAAACCGCCUCCAAAUCUGUUUUAUUUUGCCUAGGCUACAUAUCACAAUAUAGCCUCACAUCUGGAUUCGUCACAUCACAGGCUGAAACAGACAUAUCAUCUCUCACUCUGAUGCAUUGUUGCGUAAAGUAGAAAUGCAGUUAUAUUCCGACAACCUGAGUGCACAGAGGCAAAACCAUAGGCUAGAUGUAUAGGUAGAUGCAUAAAAUAAUUUAAAUCAUAAUAUACUUUUUUGGGGGGGGAGGGGGGGACGCAGCACACGUAAAGGGAUUGCUUUCGAGUUUUAUACACUGGCGAAAUCAGAAGAUUUACAAGCUGUCCACCACUUUCUGAACAGCGGUGUGUUGGUGUCUCAGGAGGACAGGGACCUGGAAACAAGCAGAUAGGGAGCAGGAGCUACAGGGGCCACGGUGUCUAUCUGCUCCUCAGUUCCCCUGUGAGGCUGUCUUUGUGUCAGGGAUCGAGAGGUGGACACACACACAGGCAAGGACUGUCUAACAGCAGGACUGCACCACUUUGCAGGGCACUGGAGGGACACUGGGCGGAAGGUUAGCAUCUGGCUGGCAGAGGGAGAGGGAAGAGAGUGGAUAAUGUGGUGGGCAGGCGACUGCAUUGCCGAGAUAACAGAUUAGGGAGAGCAGCAGGUCAGGGCACAUCAUCCUGACAAAGCCUGCACUUCCACCAACACUACACAGCAGAAUUCAAUUAAACCCUACAGCUACUGGCAGGCAGUGGCCCAGCCUCACAUACACUCACACACAAAUAUACAAAGACUCUCCACUGCUGGACAGCUGCUGAGCCCCCCUUCCCUCUUGUCCUGUUUGAUGUUCAGUGCCACAUGGGAUUUUUUCUUCUGAUUGAUUUGUCUUUUUUCAAUCCAGUCACUCAUAGCCUCAGUUCCUUUCAGGGCAUUCAUUGGUAAGCCCUUUUAAGGUCCUCGUAUCUACUUUUCUUAAGACUCUGUGGCAAUCCUCUUUGUCAUUACGGCCAGAAUGUUUUGAUUACUUUAGGAGCUUUUACAUUAUUGCUUUUUCUCUGACUGAAGAGCACUGGAAUUCUGAUGGUCGCGCAGACUUUUUGAGGCCGCACUGCGAUGAAUAUUUGUGCCCAUAUUCUCCUGUCAAUCAGACUUGACAUGUCCAGAGAGCACCUCCCCCAGACAGGCAGACAGAACGUGGAUGCAGAGCAUCUGGAGGGCUGGUAGAUGCUCAGUCUGCCACACAGAGACUCACAGCCUCAAUGACAACUAGACUACAGGACACCUGGCCCUACAUUCUAGUGGAGGAGAACACAAAGUCCUGAGUAGCUCUGCUCUUUCUGCAAGUCUCAGAAACUCCAAAGUGGAUCUUCUGACAGAAAAAAAUCAAGCUUGCGCGAGACGGGCAGAGAAGUGAGAAGAGGGAGGGAGAGGGGGAGACGUGUUAUUUGUUCAGGUUGACUAGA